rnacentral:snoRNA from 1 species
ACCCUCCAGAUUCCUCAUCUCUUAGAUCUAAACAUUGGUCUGAGUGGCUUUAAAAGGAGGACAAGUAAAAUUAAAGUGGACUUAUGAUUCUUGAGUGACAUACAAAUUCAUUUCAAACACAC